GACCAGACUCCUACGGGAGGCAGCAGUGGGGAAUAUUGCACAAUGGGGGAAACCCUGAUGCAGCGACGCCGCGUGAGUGAAGAAGUAUUUCGGUAUGUAAAGCUCUAUCAGCAGGGAAGAUAAUGACGGUACCUGACUAAGAAGCCCCGGCUAACUACGUGCCAGCAGCCGCGGUAAUACGUAGGGGGCAAGCGUUAUCCGGAUUUACUGGGUGUAAAGGGUGCGCAGGUGGCAGGGCAAGUCAGAUGUGAAAGCCCGGGGCUUAACCCCGGAACGGCUUUGGAAACUGAGCAGCUAGAGUGCUGGAGAGGUAAGCGGAAUUCCUAGUGUAGCGGUGAAAUGCGUAGAUAUUAGGAGGAACACCAGUGGCGAAGGCGGCUUACUGGACUGUAACUGACGUUGAGGCUCGAAAGCGUGGGGAGCAAACAGGAUCAGAUACCCCCGUA
rnacentral:rRNA from 1 species